rnacentral:lncRNA from 1 species
UAAACAAGAACAUCUGGAUCAUCCGAUCACGGUUAUCAAAGACUGAUUUUACUCCACAUGAUAGAUGUUUCGCCAUUACAAACCGCUCAGCAGUUCAACUAUUUAAAGGUAGCAGACAUUCAAGACCAGGGCAUCACUCAAAAACAAAACCAGUAGCAUUUCUGUAAGAGGGGUAACUAAAUGGGACGACAUAAUGUUUUCCAGAUCGACCAAUCCCAGUACCAAGAAUCCAGCAGGUGGGAGAACAAAGAUUCUAGAUCUUGUUGAAGGCAACGAUGUCACACGACUGGACAUAUUCGUUGAUGGGCGCCUCGCAAAGCACUUCCUCAAUAAGAGUGUCGACGGACACAAGGUCAUCGAUGAUCGUCAGCAUGAUCUGGAGCUUCUUGAUGCCAUAACCCACAGGCAUAAGCUUAGCUGCAAGAGUGAAAGCAAUGUGUUAACUUUGUCAAACUGUUGCAUCAGUGAGCUAUGAGAAGAGAUAUAUACUAUAUGAAAAGAAAUGAGUUCCUUACAUGCACCCCAGGUGAGACCCUCCAUUUGAACACUGCGGACAGCCUCCUCCAACUUCUUCAUGUCAGUCUCAUCGUCCCAUGGCUUGAUGUCCAUGAGGACGGAGGAUUUGCCACCUAAAUAAAGCUUGGUGUUAGCACAAACUGGACAAUGACAAUAUAAGCCAGACUACAUGAAUGCUGCAGGAUAGUAAGUCAGCAGACAAUUUAAGCACACAACACUAGUAGAGCUUACUUUCUUUCUUCUUUGCAGGCUUGGCAGCCUCACGCUCAGCUGCAGCUUUCUUGUCCUCCUCGGUCUCAUCGCCAAACAGAUCCAUGUCAUCAUCGUCAUCUUCAUCCUGCAAGAAGGUCAAACGCAUAAUGCAGAGCAAUAAUUAUAUUCGAAUUCAAAUGAGGCCUAUGAAGAUUGACAUAAAUGUAACUGAGAUAGUACUUCAGCAAACAUUCAUUAAUGUGAAGCAUUCAGAGCUUGGCAUACACACAGUUAUAAUUACUAAAAGAACGAUUAUCAUUCCCUCAAAACUACAAUUUGGAGUUCUAGCACAUGCUGCAGUCACUAUAGAACUUAUUAUAGUAACAAUAAAGCCUUCAAAGGGCAAAUAAAAGCAACGGCUCGAUUGCUCAAACUCUCAAAGUAGUAAUUGACACAACAAAUAUGGACAAGCAGGAGCAAACCUUGGAAGCGGCAGGAGCAGCUGCAGCAGGAGCCGAUGAUGCACUCACCCCAGAGGACUGGCCAG